rnacentral:lncRNA from 1 species
GCUGAAUAAAUCACACGAGACAUGGCAAUUUUUGAAUGGAAGAAGACAAUUAUGAUUAUUCUAUCAAAAUUUCUUGCAAACGGCACACUCAGCGAUCGCCUCGUCCCAGGAGAGAUGCCAAGCGCCUGAAUGUCUACAGGCUGGCCUUAGAGAGUGCCAUCCAGAGCCGAUGAGGCUGUGCCCUUGAAAUGCUCACAGAGAGGACCACACACUCAGGAACCCACGUGCGAGCAGCCAACAUGUGUUCGACCAAGCAUCACAGCAUGGACGCAUUUCCACCAGGCUGCGGGGAAAGGCUCUUCUCGGAAUUUGGAAUUUAGUGGCUUAAGAAAUCCUUUAUAAUUCCAUAUUGUCAGUUCUGGAUUUAUUAAAGGUCACAAAAAAGCAAUAUUCUUUUAUACCAGAAAAGCAAGCUCUGAAUUAAGGUCUGCCUAAAACUACAUUUUAUGGUAAUGAAGAC